rnacentral:rRNA from 1 species
AUUGAACGCUGGCGGCAGGCUUAACACAUGCAAGUCGAGCGGGGGAAGGUAGCUUGCUACCGGACCUAGCGGCGGACGGGUGAGUAAUGCUUAGGAAUCUGCCUAUUAGUGGGGACAACAUCUCGAAAGGGAUGCUAAUACCGCAUACGUCCUACGGGAGAAAGCAGGGGAUCUUCGGACCUUGCGCUAAUAGAUGAGCCUAAGUCGGAUUAGCUAGUUGGUGGGGUAAAGGCCUACCAAGGCGACGAUCUGUAGCGGGUCUGAGAGGAUGAUCCGCCACACUGGGACUGAGAAACGGCCCAGACUCCUACGGGAGGCAGCAGUGGGGAAUAUUGGACAAUGGGGGGAACCCUGAUCCAGCCAUGCCGCGUGUGUGAAGAAGGCCUUAUGGUUGUAAAGCACUUUAAGCGAGGAGGAGGCUACUUUAGUUAAUACCUAGAGAUAGUGGACGUUACUCGCAGAAUAAGCACCGGCUAACUCUGUGCCAGCAGCCGCAGUAA